CAGUAGCCGCGGUAAUACGUAGGUGGCGAGCGUUGUCCGGAAUCAUUGGGCGUAAAGGGAGCGCAGGCGGGCAUGUAAGUCUUUCUUAAAAGUGCGGGGCUCAACCCCGUGAUGGGAAAGAAACUAUGUGUUUUGAGUACAGGAGAGGAAAGCGGAAUUCCCAGUGUAGCGGUGAAAUGCGUAGAUAUUGGGAGGAACACCAGUGGCGAAGGCGGCUUUCUGGACUGCAACUGACGCUGAGGCUCGAAAGCCAGGGGAGCGAACGGGAUUAGAUACCCCAGUAGUCCCUGUCUCUUAUACA
rnacentral:rRNA from 1 species